UACGAAGGGGACUAGCGUUGUUCGGAUUUACUGGGCGUAAAGCGCGCGUAGGCGGAUCGCUAAGUCAGGGGUGAAAUCCCAGGGCUCAACCCUGGAACUGCCUUUGAUACUGACGGUCUGGAGAUCGGGAGAGGUUGGUGGAAUUCCGAGUGUAGAGGUGAAAUUCGUAGAUAUUCGGAGGAACACCAGAAGCGAAGGCGGCUCACUGGAGCGGUAUUGACGCUGAGGUGCGAAAGCGUGGGGAGCAAACAGG
rnacentral:rRNA from 1 species